ACAAUUCUCUCUUUCCAUUCUCAUCACUCACUCGCUCAUCAUAUCUUCUGCCCUAGCUCUGUGACUAUACUACCAAAUUAACUCAUUUUCUCUCUCUCUAGAUCCCUAAAAUUAGCCAUUAACAAUGGAGGCAAUGAAGAUGAAGCUAUUCAUAGCUGUUGUGCUGAUGAUGAUAAUGGCGGUCCAGAACGCGGCGGCAGCGACAGAGGCCCCUGCGCCAAGCCCUACUUCAGAUUCAUCUGUUUUUCUACCCACUGUUUUGGCUUCUCUUGUUCCCCUUGUAUUCACUUUUCUGUUCUAAUUGUUCGCCUCUUAGUUUAUGUUGGAUAUCUGGCUUUAUUUUCUCAUCCGCGUGGUGGGAUUUGUGUAUAGGGAUUUUUUUUUGGCUCGGAUUGAUUAUUUGAUGGAUUUGUGGGGAAAUUUGGGAUUUAGGGGAGAAUAUGAGAGAUUGAGAUGGAUUUGUUUGGGGGGAAAUUUCAUUUGUUUGAUUCUUUUAUAUUAAUAGAUUAUGUGGAUGUUUUCUUUAACAAAUUAAUUAAUAUUGUUUUCUUUAUGAUUCCUUUGGGUUGUGAUUUUAAUUUAGUUUGCCAAUCCAGGGAGAUACAUGCAUUACACAAUGUUUAUAUUACAUUAUAUAUUAUGAUUGUGGUGGAUUGGUCUUUUUAAUAAUUAAAAUAUGAAAAUAUCAAUUUCUGGACGGGAAUAAUAUUGGUUUCGAUUUUUUUAGGAAACGAUUAUACUUGUAAUACAAUAUUAAUUUUAAAUGUCUCGUUUAUUUUUAAAUUUAGACUUUAGAUUAUCAUUUUUAUUUUAAAAUAAAAGUCGUUUAUACACGUGAAUUAAAAAAGACAUUUAAUAAAUAAAAUUUGUAUAAAAUUU
rnacentral:lncRNA from 1 species